CGCCCCGCGCGAGGACGCACCUGCUGCCCUCCCCCGCCGGAGGCGCUGGGACGGGUAGGAGUCUUUAGCGCCCGCUCCCUCUCCUAGGUGAAAACCCCCUGAACAAACAUCCUUGCUGGCUGCUCCUGGGAGUGAAGCUGAGCUUCCAGACUUUCAACCUACCUGUGGAGGAUUCAUGUGGGAAAUGAAAGAAGGCUCACUGGUGUUAACUUCCUUUGGACUGUUAGAGAUUUACAAGGAGGUGCUGAUUUGAAGUGUUAAGGAAGAAGUUGUAAGGAGAUGAGAAUAUGAGAAAACAGGAGGAAAAUUCACAGCAGCUGGAAGUAC